rnacentral:rRNA from 1 species
GAUCCUGGCUCAGGAUGAACGCUGACAGAAUGCUUAACACAUGCAAGUCUUUGGCGAAGUUGUGCUUGCACAGCCUAGCCAAGGCGGACGGGUGAGUAACGCGUAAGGAACUUGCCCUGCAGUCAGGGAUAACAGAUGGAAACGACUGAUAAGACCUGGUAAAGUCAGGCGGACUCAUGUCCAGCCUGAUGAAAAGAGAUGCUGCAGGAGAGCCUUGCGU